CUACCAUGCAGUCGAGCGCACUCUUCGGAGUGAGCGGCGGACGGGUUAGUAACCUUAAGUUAUGCCCUUCUCUAAGGAAUAGCCACUGGAAAUUGAGAGUAAUACCUUAUACGCCCUUCGGGGGAAAGAUUUAUCGGAGAAGGAUUAGCCCGCGUAAGAUUAGAUAGUUGGUGGGGUAAUGGCCUACCAAGUCUACGAUCUUUAGCUGGUUUUAGAGGAUGAUCAGCAACACUGGGACUGAGACACGGCCCAGACUCCUACGGGAGGCAGCAGUGGGGAAUCUUGGACAAUGGGCGCAAGCCUGAUCCAGCCAUGCCGCGUGAGUGAUGAAGGCCUUAGGGUCGUAAAGCUCUUUCGCCAGAGAUGAUAAUGACAGUAUCUGGUAAAGAAACCCCGGCUAACUCCGUGCCAGCAGCCGCGGUAAUACAGAGGGGGUUAGCGUUGUUCGGAAUUACUGGGCGUAAAGCGCACGUAGGCGGAUCAGAAAG
rnacentral:rRNA from 1 species